rnacentral:rRNA from 1 species
GACGAACGCUGGCGGCGUGCUUAACACAUGCAGGUCGAACGGUAAGGCCCUUCGGGGUACACGAGUGGCGAACGGGUGAGUAACACGUGGGUGAUCUGCCCUGCACUUCGGGAUAAGCCUGGGAAACUGGGCCUAAUACCGGAUAGGACCACUGCCUGCAUGGGUGGUGGUGGAAAGCUUUUGCGGUGUGGGAUGGGCCCGCGGCCUAUCAGCUUGUUGGUGGGGUGAUGGCCUACCAAGGCGACGACGGGUAGCCGGCCUGAGAGGGUGACCGGCCACAUUGGGACUGAGAUACGGCCCAGACUCCUACGGGAGGCAGCAGUGGGGAAUAUUGCACAAUGGGCGCAAGCCUGAUGCAGCGACGCCGCGUGAGGGAUGACGGCCUUCGGGUUGUAAACCUCUUUCAGCACCGACGAAGCGCAAGUGACGGUAGGUGCAGAAGAAGGACCGGCCAACUACGUGCCAGCAGCCGCCGUAA